rnacentral:rRNA from 1 species
AAUACGAGCGGCAGACGGGUGAGUAACGCGUGGGAAUCUACCCAUCUCUACGGAACAACUCCGGGAAACUGGAGCUAAUACCGUAUACGUCCUUUGGAGAAAGAUUAUCGGAGAUGGAUGAGCCCGCGUUGGAUUAGCUAGUUGGUGGGGUAAUGGCCUACCAAGGCGACGAUCCAUAGCUGGUCUGAGAGGAUGAUCAGCCACAUGGGACUGAGACACGGCCCAGACUCCUACGGGAGGCAGCAGCU